CUUAAAAUCAUCAGGUGGAGAGUCUUUCCCAAAAGCAUAUUGGGAUAUCAUCUUAAGAGCAAGACCUUGAGAUGGCAGCUCCACCUCAUAUACAAGGUCAAUCUCAUGAGCCUUGAGAAGUUGCUUAUCUUGAGUGAUCACAAUUAUUCUGCUUCCAGAACCAAACCAUUCAGCUUUUCCCACCAAGGUCUUAAGAAACUCUAGAUUAUCCACAUCAUCAAGAAGGAUAAGAACUUUCUUGUGCUUUAACCUUUGCUCCACCACACCAAAAUGAUCUAUCUUUAUGUCCUUUUGACCUAAGAUUUCCGAGAGAAGUUCUUUUUCCCAACUCAACUUCAUGCCAGAGACGUCACUACCACUGGUGCUUUUAUAAGUUAUGAAAGCGCGAUGGUGGAACUGGCUAGAGAGUUGACUGAAAAGAGCUCUUCCUAUGGUACUCUUACCAAUCCCUGACUGUCCCCAAAUCCCGACCAUUAUUCUAGCUUCCUUGGAUUCCAAGCAAAGUAUUGAUUUUAUUGCCUUUAUAUGAUCUUCAAUUCCGACGAAGUCACCAAAACCCUUUGGCAGAGGAAAAAGUUUAUUCGAAACAUCAUUGGCUAUCUUUUUAACCAUAAACGCUUCAGUAGGCCUAAUAACAAUAGUCAAUUGUGUCAAUAGAGAGGCACCCUUAAAAGCACAAUCGAAGAUUCGAAGUCAACGCAAGAAAAAAAAACCCAGUCUUAUAUAAUAAAGUAAGGUUUUCUCGAAGUCAUGCUCUGAGAAUUUGAUAAGUCGCACUCUAUUCUUUCGAUAUGUGUAAUUUUUUUAAUUUUUAUUGCUUCCAAAACUGAAAUAUACCAUAAUCAUUUUGCAUUAAAUUUAAUUAUAAAAUAUUUUGUUUUUGAAAAAAUAUAAGUAAGAAAUUUUAAAUUUAUUUCUAAAUUAAUUUUGUUUUACUUUCAAUCAUUAAAAGCAAAUAUCAAAGAUUAUUUUCAUGAUAUAUAACAUAUUUUCCUACAGUUUAUUCAAAAAAUGAAUUUAGCAUAAACAAUGAAUAAAUAAUUUAUUCUAAUUUUCAAAACAAUGAAAAUAGAAUAAAUAUUAAUUCUAAUUUUAUUAUUUGAUGAUGUAUCAUUUAUCAAUAUAUAAAUAAUACAGAUGCAUUAAAAUAUGAUUUGUCUUUUUAUUUUCUCUCAUUUUAUAAUAUAAUAUUUACACAUGCUUUUAUUAAAUUAUUUACUAUAAAUAUUAUCAUACCUAUCUUACUUUGGGAUUGUCUUUUAAUAAUUUUUAAUAUUUAAAUAUUUAAAUAAUAGAAUUGCUUUUAAAAAUAUGAUUUCAUAAGAAAAUAAAUUUGAAAUAAAUGUAAAACUAACCUCAUUAAAAAAGACUCAAAUGACUAAAAUCAAUGAAAUGUAAAGUAAACACCAAUGAGAAAAAGAAAAUUAGGGUGAUUGAGUGUCUCAUGUAACGUUUUAAAAAAAAAAAAAUUGUUACUCAUGUAACGUUUGUGUUGCAAACGUUUUUGAACCAAUUAUUAACAUUUAUGCUGGAAAUAAACACAUGAAUUAGUUAUACCCUAAAUAUCUACUUUUCUGAUAUAAAUAGCAAAUAUAUAUACUAUUUUUUAUCACACACAAGUAUUUUUAUUUCCUUUAACAAUUGACGAAAAAUGGAAGAUGGCUUGCGGUAUUAACAACGUUUACGGCAAGAGUCCCUGUCUUUCAAUUUCUCUCCUUCAUUUAAGGUUUGGACUCGUAUUAGCUCUCAGAUUUCGUUUUCUUUUUAAGUUUUUGUGAAUGAUUUCAUAUUGUUUAAUGUUUCUAAAAUGGUUAUAUUGAAUCUUACUUACAUGUGUUUUUUUCCUGUUUUUUUUUGUUCUGAAUUUAAUUCAAGAUAUUUUUGCAUCUUUUAGAAAAAGUUUUUUUUUUUGUUUUGUAGGCAUCAAAUGCACUUUAAACCAUUUAAAUGGAUAUAAGAUAAGAAGCUAGCAGACUAUGGAUAGCAUAGUCAAUUGCAAGAGAAAGUAAGGAUCAAGGUUUUGAUCAUUCAUAAAAUACAAAAUUUGAUGCAAGUGAUUUAGUUAAUCUCGAUUAAUGGUGGAGCGAUAACAAUAGGUAUGACCAUACUAAUUAUAUAACUAUUUAUUUCUCUUUCCAACUUAAAUAUUUCGAGUUAAAUUUUAGUAUAAUAUUUUUUAUUUUUGUUAAUAAAAUUAAAUUCUAAUUAUAUGUAGUUUCUGUUUAUAAUGUUUUGAAUUUUAAAAUGAGAAUUAUAAUUUGUUCACCCAAUAUUUCUAUAAAUAGUUACCAAAUUUUGUUGACAUAUAUGUUCUUUAAAACAACAUUUCAGUAAUUUUGUUCAAUCUCAUCUUACUCUACAUCAAUUUGCGUUGGCAUCCAAAUUGACAAAAAAAAAAACUUAAAAUUGUGUUCAUUUUUUAGCAUAAGGAAGCUCAAUUCUCAGCCUCUAAAGAAAACAUGAUCAACAUUAGUUCACUCAUAUGAGGAAAAUUGUUUAAUCUUUUUCUAUCAUUACUUAUAUUUAAUGACUUUUCCAAUAAUUGUUUUCAAACCUAUAAGUCAAAAUAUUGAAAGACUCAUAAUACAAAUAACAAAAAUCUAUGCCUAUAAUACACAUUAAAAGUUAUAUUUAGGACCAAAUAAUUCAUAAUAAAAGACUCUAUUAUAUAUAAUGAAGCAAAACAAAAUUAAAUUCUUUUAUAUGAGUGACAUAUUGAAAUGAUUUAGGAUUUUUAUUUUUCAAGUUUAUCUUUUCUUAAAUUUUAAGAUUUUUUAUAUGAGAGUAUUUGAGAAGCCAUCAUGUGCGACCUUUUAUCUAUAUCCUUAAUUAUAUUUGAAAUUUAGGUUUAAUUAUAUAUUAUAUCAAGACAAAAUAAAAUGUGUCUUACGAAAUAUGAGACAAAAUGUUUUAUAUAUUUUGGGUAAACUGUUAAUUUCAGUAAAGCAAGAUUUAUAAAAAGGAUAAUGAUGUUUAAAAAAAUAACUUUUUAUACAAUAGCGCAUUAGAUCAAUGUCGAGUGGUGUGCUUGAAAUACGGUUUAUUAUACCUAGGACGAAUUUGUUGAGUCUCUUAAAAAGGGCAUUGGUUUGUUUGUAAAGAAAGUGUAAUAGCUUGAUAAAAUCUUGCAUUUCUCUCAAACAAUAGAUGAUGAUGAUGAUGUGAAACAAUGAAAGUGUGUAAUUUAGAAGUUAGGAGAUCAUUUUAGUUUUUUCAAUAACAUAAAGGUCGUCAGUUGAUUUUGAAAAUCAGGACUUACCAAUAUAUCAAUUUUGUCGAUUAAAAAACCAAAUCUUGAGUAGAUAUUAUUUAUUGUGAAAGUAAAAAUGUAAUAUGUCAUAUUGACAUGCUAAUUGAAACUUUAAUUAUAUAUUUAUUAAUAAAUUAUUUUACACCACAUGAAUUCAUAUAAAUUAUAACAAAAGAAAAACAAAUUUAAUGAGUUCAAAAUCAACAAAACAUAUAACACUUAUUUCAAGCUACCCAUAUUGUAGAUGCUAAUAUAAUUAUAUUCCAUAAUGAAAUUGAAAUUUUUAUUCAAAACAAAAUUAAUUUGCUCUCUUUAACUGAGAGUAAUUCCAAAUAUUUUUUGAAAGCUUUAUAAACAACUAAUUUAUGUAAUAUGAUAUACACAAUAAAAAAUUUGUUUUUAAAUAGCUAAAAAUAUUUCAUUAUGUAAAUUUUAAAAUUAUUUCAUAUUUUAUAUUAAUUUUAAACCCACGCACAUUUUCUAGUUUUGCAAUAAUUAUAAACACUCAUAGAAAUAGUGGAAUAAAUAAAACAUACCCGUUCCGAAGAUCCUCCCCGGCUAAAUUUGAUAUAUCUGUGAGAGCUUUAACCCAUCUUUGUUUCUGAUCCUCUGGUUUGUCCUCGCAUGUCUUUUUAAAGACAUCGCCAAAGCCACCGAUCUGUUUUCUAACAUGAGAAGGAUCAACGCCGUAGAAAACCGGAAUCACCAUUUGUUCCCCUUUCUUGUAACACUUGUGGAUCUCCACCAAUUCAUUCAAGCACCACGUUGAAGAAGCAUAGUUCUCAGAGAAGAUGACUAUUGAGAUCCUCGCUUCUCUAAUGGCCGUUAUAAGCGCAUCGGCGAUUAUGCAGCUUCUCACGAUGCCGUGAUCCAUGAAUGUAUUGAUUGAUCUGCGGUCGAGCGCCUCGAUUAGAUGGCUGAGGAACGUUUUGCGAACAUCUACCCCACUGAAGCUUGGGAAAACGUCGUAUCUCCGGCUACUAGGAGAAGAAGAAGAAGAAGCCAUGGGAGACGAUAGAGGGAACUCAGAGAAGAGACGAAGAUUUUUAAGAGAAGUAAAUCAGCAAGACAUAGUGUGAGAAAGAGAGGAGAAACUUCGUCUUCCUUCCCUCCAAGACUUGCAUAGAAGACUUACUGUACAAGAUAUUCUUUUAAGUGGCUAAAAUCAAAUCUCCUAACAAGACAAUUGAGACGUAAAUAAUAAAGAAACUCGGCCCUUCCUUUCCUCGAAAGCUUUUUUACACUACAUACAAAGAUAUUUUUGAAGAUUGAAUUUUUGUGGUUGUCACUGAAUUAUGAUAAGUCUUAGUCUUUGUACAAGACAGAAAUAAUAUUUCAAUUUCUAGGCAAGUAGACAGAAACUUACAUUCGUUUCCUCUACAAAGAUAUUUUGAAAACACAAAUUUUGUGGUUAUCAGUUGUCCUUGUAUAUAAUGAAAGAAUAUGCGGAAUUGUAGCAAAGAGUAAGAGAAUUAUGAAGAACAAGAGAGUUGGUAUAUGAGUGAGAAUGACCAAAUCAUAUUGAUAGAAUUAGUUAGUAACCUUUGUGUGUUUACAAUGUAUUUAAAGACACACAAAGGGAAUAUGACCGUUUACAAUUAACGUAAGACUGAAAGAGACAUGAGAGAAGAGGUUCCUUGGUCUUGAUGGUGAGAGCGACUGGUCCUUGGUUGACCAUGUCGCUAAAGACACUCGUGAGUCCUCUUCAACGGCUACAAGAGAUAUUUGUGCGCCUUCACUCUUUCUAGAAGCUCUCCAUAGACUUCUCAUGUGUUCGGCCCAACUCCUUGUAGCACAUACCCAAUACUAGGCCUUUCUCCUUAUUUGUACGGAUGAAUCUCUUAUUGAAUCUUGAUCAAUAUAUAAUAUACGUAUGAAUUACCUGGACGCCUUCCCAUAGCUUCUCAAGCUUGUUGUUACAUCUCACUGUGAGGUCUUUGAGAUGUUCUGGGCGAAAUUUACUUGGAUUACAUCUCCUAAGGCAAUCAAGAUAACCGAGUCCAGGGAGAUUCUUGUUCCAUAAACAAUCUGCUACCUCGAUGUCAAUUUCUCCUCUGAAACUGUGCAUAAUAAUCUCAGGGAAAUUUCUCAACUUGGGGCAUCGUAGGAGAUUGAGGUACUCAAGAGAUUCCGAGUUGAGAGGAGUUGGAAAACUUUCUAGCACUUCGCAUUUACAAAGAUCUAGUCUCUCGAGGUUUGUGGCUAAAGAAAGAUCUGGAAUUUCUUUCAAAUAUUUGGAAUUACGCAGAAUCAUCUUCUUUAGGCUUCCAAGUAACUGAAAACAAGGAAAGAGAGAAUAACAGACGUUCGUAAACAUUUCAAAAAAUUCAUUUAAUUUUUUGAACAAAUAAAUCAAUAAACAUAACACAUUUCUGUUUUCAAAUUGACAACAAAAACAAUAAAAAAUUAGUACCUGAGUUCCAUUCCACAGCUUCUCAAGGUCACUAUCCUCCAUUAUGAGUUCAACCAGAUACUCAGCCUUAAAAUUAGAAGGCAAACGCUUCAAUGGACAAUAACGCCACCAUAGGCAUAUGAUGUUACUUGAAAUCUGAGGGAAAAAUCUCAAACUUGAGCUUCCAUCACUAUAAUCCUGAGAUGGAGACACAUUCAAGAGAUAUUUUUGAAGAUUGAAUUUUUGUGGUUGUCACUGAAUUAUGAUAAGUCUUUGUACAAGACAGAAAUAAUAUUUCAAGUUCUAGGCAAUUAGACAGAAACUUACGUUAUUCGUUUCCUCUACACAGAUAUUUUGAAACACACAAAUUUUGUGGUUGUCAGUUGUCCUUGUACAAGACAGUUUAUCGUAAGAAUGUACUUAUGAUUGUUUAAUAUCAAAGUCUUGUUUCCCAAUACAUACAUGCACAUGGAUUAGGAGAAUAAGUAUAUCGAUUAUGAGGAUUUUAAUUCAAAUAAUACAGUGAAAAUACUAAUUAACACUAACUCUCUAGUUUGCUAAAUUACUCUUUUAGUUUUCAAUAAUUGUAUUAUUAGUUUAAAGUUUGGCUUACUGCGUCAGCAACCACUGUAGGCUGCGAUUGCAUUUGCUGUAUUGUUUAAGGAGCAUUUGGUUUCUAAGGGUUUCAUGUACUGGAUGGAAGAACUCGUGUCUGAGAACAUCCUCUGCGCUGGUUCGUUGCCUCGGGUUAACGGUCAAACAUCUAUCCACGAAGUCAAGGAGCGGCCGUGGGAUUGCGUCUAGAAACUCUCUGCGUUUGUGUUGAGUUCACACCAUUUUCUCAACUCCAGCCCCUUCAACGUACAAUUCUUGAAACAACAACACAAAAAUCUAUGUGCAUUCAAUUCAUCUCUCACGAUCAUCUAUCAAAUCACUUUAUCAGUAAUUUACAUUUUAAAGUUAUAUCAUGUUCUGGACUAACAAUGAAAACCAUUUUAUUUGAAUCCAUAUGCUGGCGGCAAAGAAGAACAGAGCAUUUGUAUUAUGUCACACAAAUUCAGCAAUCAAGUGAAUGGAGAGUUUAUAAGGGAGGUAAGAUGAGAUUUUACCUCAGGCAAAGAGGUUUCACUAUUGUGCAGCUUGGCUACUUCCCAUAAGUCUUCACUGCUUCGUAGUUACUCAAUGUCCUUCACGUUCCUAGGAAUCACAAGGUCGUUGUAAGACGGCAAGAAAGAAAAAAGAGUGGAAUCGACUGAUGGUGUAUUAUGUUUUUAUUAUUAUUAUUAGGUCAUUGGUGCAAUAUCUGAAGCAAACCUGCACAAACCAAUUCAGCUAAAAGAAGCACCAGAGAAAUUAGCUUUCACAUCCUAAAUGUGACAAUGACUAGCUCACUUGAGCUCAGGGUCGUGGUGGAGGUCGGUGAGUGGGACGGGUGGAAGCUGGUUUGUAUGUAUGGGGCUGUGGUGGUGGUGCGUUAUGUUUUAAUCACUGUUUUUUUACUGUGAGUGUAGGAAACGCCACGGUAGCAGUGAUGCAAUUGUUGCUGAUGAGGUUGCUAUUUAAAAAUUUAGUUCCAACACUUUUUUGCUGUUGAUAAUUCUCUUGUGAAAUACAUUUUUCUUUACCAAAUUUAUUCAUUGAUUUAAAGAGAGAAAAAUAACCUUUGGUAACAUACACGUAGAGAGAUAUGUGUGUUUCAAAAGACAAGUGUGGAGAAAGUUUGAACCUUUAACUUGUUUCUUGCGGAAUCUCUCACUAUCACUCAAAGAAAUUUGGAUCUCUCGUGUGUUGACUUAGAAAAACGAAUGAAGAAGAAAUAGAAAGAGCACACACACACCAUUUAACGAGUUCACGUUUCCAAACCGGAAACGCUACAUCUCGCCGAGAUUGUACUCGGAAAUCCACUAGAAAGCUUGGUUUCGGUUACAUAAACCCUAGAGGCGAACUGGACACUCCCAGCCGCCUCACCUAAACCCCCAUCUAGCUCUCUUCUUGUUGUCUUUUAGGGUUCAGCUUGCCUCCUCUUUUAUAUGCAGGGUUCUCCUCUUUUUCUUCACCCUCGCAUGCUCUGUUUUCCCGUACAGGGGAAGAAGACAAACAAAGCUUAUGACUGAAGCAGAAGUUAAUUACUCUUCUGUCCCUUGUCUAUUUAUGAGAAACACAACAGCUGUUUCUAGUGUGUUCUCAACUUCCCUUAGGUGAAACCUUCUUUGUAGACUAGAGUCUUUGGAAGCUUCUCUUCCCUGUAGAGUAUCUUAACACUUAAGGCAAAACUCAACAACAAGACUGUUAAAUUUACAUCUUUUCAGGAAAGCGAAUUUUUCAAAGAAGCAAAACAGAGAGAAGUAAGAACAGAGUGGUUCUGCUGUUCUGGACAUGGAACCAUAAAAUUUUUCUAGUUGUCAGUACUCCAUCAUCUGCAGGAGAAAAUGGCUUGUGUGAAAAACUAAGAAAUAGUCUUGUCAUUACCAGUAUAGUCAUGGUCGAUCCCACGUUCAUUACAAAACAGAGUUGUAAUACGUUUCAGGUUGCCUUAACAAUGUGAUAAGCUGUGGAGACGGCUAAGGAUCCAGGAAAGGAAUGUUAACAAUGUGAGUUCAGUCAAGGCAGAUCUUUAACUGUUCAGGGUCAGCAGUGAAAGGUGUCGUCCCCAUCAGACCACACGUCUAUGUUAGGCCCUUGAUGCAAAGAUCUGAAGCAAAUCAAUUCAGUCAAGAACAGCCCCAGAGAAUUAGCUUUCCAUCCUAGAUGUUCUAGUGAGUAGUUCAGGCCUACAACUUUAACUCUUUACGAUACAAUUAAAGAGUGCAGCGGCAUGGGGGAACAGCAGCGACAUGUAUUCUCAUCGACGUAGGAUAGCUGGAUGAUACUUCAUGGUUUGGAAGUGGACCAGACAAUGUCUCCUGUAGAAAGUUUAAAAGCUCUUUCCUUCACCCGAAGGAUUGUUCCUUAUGCUGGUUACAUCUUUGGCCGAAGUUAGGCCAAAAACGCUUCUGCCUUUUGGCUAUUGAAUCAGCGGAUAUGCAAAUGUUGCUGAUUCUUGUUGUUUUCUGUACCCAAAGUCUGAUUUAUUCAUUGCUAAUAAAGAGAAAAACAACCUUUACUAACAUAAACCUUGACAUCUAUGUUUUAAAAAAGGCAAGACUAUUUUGGGUAGUACCUGAGUUCAAGUAGGUACGCUCCCAAAUUCAAUGUGGAAAUAGAUAGAUGUAUGGUACAAUACAAAACCAUGCGAAAGAUGUUUUUCCAGAAUAUGCUAAAGUGUGGCUUUCUGAAACAUUUAUUCUUUCAGGAAAAGCGAAAUGUUCAAAACAAACGCAGAGUUGGAUAAUGUAAUUAAUUAUCAUUAUCAUUAUCAUUAUAGUCAUAGUCGAUCCCAAGUUAUCCUAAAACAGAGCAAAACAGAAUGAUAAGAUGUUUCAGUUACCAGAAACAGGAAACAAGAUAGGAAUUCCUUUAUCUUGUUCUUCAGUUAUCAUGUAAUCAACACACAAAGCUUCCCCCUCUAGAGAUGUUGAUGAUGAUGGUUCUCCCUGCCCUAACGAAAGCUCCAUAUUUAGAGCGGCCAAUCCUGUGUCCGCUACAAUUAGGCCAUAGGGUAAGUUGAUAUCUUCUUCAGAUGUCCCCGAUGUCAUCUGCAUUAUAAAUCAAACGAUAGAUUCUAUUAAAUAGUCUGUCCCUAUGGUAUUUCGAUCCUGGAAAAUCAAAUCAAAAGUCAAAAGAUACCCGCAUCCGCUUCUCGCUUCUCGUAGUCUGUUGGUUGUUCUCUUCUUGAGAGACAUACAUGAGUCGUACACCGCAUUCUUUGAUCCUAUUGGAGCAACAAAACUUAAACUCCACAUCGUUGAAAUUCAAUUUAGAUGGAAGAUCUUCAGACCGGAACUUGAAGGAACAGAAAAACAGAUGAUCCGUCUUACAAAGCUCCAGUUCUGCAUCUUUAGAAAAUGAUUUCUGAUACUGUUUGCCAUUGAAGCCAACGUUUACCUUCAAGAAUGGAUAAAAACCCUUGCCCUUGGAGAGAGGUUCAACCACGACGCAAGCCUUAAAUCGCAAGAAAUUUUGAGAAAGAGAGCUCUGAGGUACAAUGACAGUUAGGGAAUCUCCAUAAGCUCGAUACGUGAAAUACUUAGGGAUUUCUUCACCUGGUAAGGCCACAGGCUUGAAGCAUGAUCGUAGGAUGAGCUCUCGCGCAUCUCUAUCCAAUUUGAAGCAAUUACGGAAGCUAAAAUGUUCCUGGAGGUAUGCAACACGAUACAACUUAUCCCAGAUAUAUUCAAUGUUUUCAGAUAAUGGUACACAAGAAACGUGGUCUUCCAUUGUCGCUACCACAGUUGCAUCACUCAACGCCUUGAUGACACCUCUACAGUCUGUAAAGUCGGCGAGCUCAAGUCUUGUAAGUCUGAAAAUGUUUGGGGAGAUGGUUUUCAACCUCUGGCAACAAUACAUCAUAAGUACAGUGAGCCUCGUGAAAUCCUCAAUGCAGCAGGGAACUUCUUCAAUGGCGGUGUUUUGCAGAUAGAGACAUUCGAUUCUAGUUGAAAUCAGAGGAAAAGUUCUCAGACUUGAGCAACCACUGAGAUCGAGGAUCAUAAGAGAUGACAAGUUGACAUCGGUCGGAAGAACCUCCAGCCCUGUGCAUUCUUUCAUUUCUAACUUCACCAAUCUAUGAAGAUUCCCAAUUGUAGAAGGGAUUUCUUCAAUGGCGGUGUUUUCCAGAUAGAGCCAUACAAUAUUAGUUGAAAUCAGAGGAAAAGUUCUCAGACUUGAGCAACCACUGAGAUCGAGGAUCAUAAGAGAUGACAAGUUGACAUCGAUCGGAAGAACCUCCAGCCCUGUGCAUUCUUUCAUUUCAAAGCUCACCAAUUUUUGGAGAUUUCCUAUAGUAGUAGGAAGUGUCACCAAACUUUUGCAAUUGUUGAGUUUCAAAUUCUUCAGAUUAGUGGCCUUUGAAAGAUCUGGAAUUUCUUCAAUGGCGGUGUUUUCCAGAUAGAGCCAUUUGAUACUCUCUGAAAUCAGAGGAAAACUUCUCAAACUUGAGCAACCACUGAGAUCGAGGGUUUCGAGAGAUGACAAGUUGACAUCGGUCGGAAGAACCUCCAGCCCUGUGCAUUUUUUCAUUUCUAACCUCACCAAUCUAUGAAGAUUCCCAAUUGUAGAAGGAAUUUCUUCAAUGGCGGUGUUUUCCAGAUAGAGCCAUACAAUAUUAGUUGAAAUCAGAGGAAAACUUCUCAAACUUGAGCAACCACUGAGAUCGAGGGUUUCGAGAGAUGACAAGUUGACAUCGGUCGGAAGAACCUCCAGCCCUGUGCAUUCUUUCAUUUCCAACCUCACCAAUCUAUGAAGAUUCCCAAUUGUAGAAGGAAGUGUCACCAAACUUUUGCAGUUGUUGAGUAUCAAAGACUCGAGCUUGGUGGCCUUUGAAAGAUCUGGAAUUUCUGUCAGGUUUUCAGAUUCUGACAGAUCCAUCCCUUCGAGACUUCCAAGCGACUGAAAAAAACAUUGGUAUGCUUCAAUCAUUAUCGAUGAUAAUCAUUUUAAUUUUAUACUGUAUAUGUUUAAAAUUAUAAUUAAACAUUAUUAUAAGACAUAACCGUGGUAAGACAUAACCGUGGAUCACAAGCCAUAAUAACAAAUUUGGGUAUAGUUAAUUAGUUAUAUAACAGAAGGUAAACAAAAAUCAGCAUAGCAUUAACAAUGUACCUGGAUGCCUUCCCAUAGCUUCUCAUGCUUGUAGCCCCUCACAUUGAGAAAAGCGAGUUGUUCUGGGCGAAAUUCACAAGGCAUACAUCUCGUAAGGCAGUCGAGAUAAUCUAGUCCAGCAGGGAGAUUCUUGUUCCAGAAACAAUCUUCUACCACGAUCUCAUUUCUCCCUUCCGGAAAGUCAACGUCUGAACAUCCCAUUUUGAUUGCUGGAAAGUUUCUCAAAUUCGGGCAUCCAGUGAGAUUGAGGUACUCGAGAGAUUCCAAGUUGAGAUCGGUUGGAAAACUCUCUAGCUUUUUGCAAUCACUCAUAUCUAAAUAGAUCAGUUUAGUGGCAUUCUGAAUCGAGGAAGGAAGUGUCACCAAAGAUUUGCAUCCAACAAGAUCUAAUUCCUCGAGGUUUAUGGCUAAAGAAAGAUCUGGAAUUUCUUUCAAAUUGUUGGAAUACCUCAAAUUCAUCUCCUUGAGACUUCCAAGGGGCUGAAAACAAAAUAUGGAAAAAGAGAAUACACACGUUCACAAAUAUACCACAGUUCUGUUCUAAAAACUGACAACUAAUAAAAUUUAGAAUUCGUACCAGAGUUCCUUCCCACAGUUUCUCAAGCUUACUAUACUUCAUUAUGAGGUUAACUAGAUAUUCCGCCUUAAAAGUAGAUGGCAAAGACUUCAAUGGACAAUCAUCCCAGUCUAGCAAUCUGAGUUUAAGGGGCAAAUAAACGAGGCUCUGAGGUAGAUCCCCGUAAUAACCAAUUUCUAGAUAUUGCAGAUUACGCAUGCCUUUGAACGAUUCUUUAUCUAUUAAUAACGGCCUUGUCGAAAAAUAUUCCUCGAAUGGCAAACGUAUUCCAAGAAGAGUUUCUGUCCCCUGAAAAAAAAUCCGAAGAAAACUAAUAUAAUCUUAACAAUCGCAACCCUUUUUAAUUUUCUGACACAUCAAAGCUACAUUUUAAUUACGCAUGAGGCAACAAUUGCUUAAGUUUAUCAAUCCCCAAAUUACGAUUAUAUUAAUAUAAAGUCAUGCAUUCAAACGGAGCUGCGAAAAAAACUUACAGUUUUCUCGGUCACUACUUCAUGAAUAUCUUCAAAAUUCGUCAGAAAUCGACGUUUUCCAGGAUUACCCUUGGACUUUGCACGAUCAAUUUCUCUACCCAAUUUCUCUAGCAAAUUGUGCAUCUCUAUAUAUCCAUCCGGUGUAAUACGUAUGAGGGACUUCUCAGUCAACAUUGUAAACCCAACAUUAUCUUUAAGUAAAUCUUUGACGUAACUGACUUCAAAACCAUUGAAUAAACACGCGAUGUAAAGGAACAUAUCUUGAUCUUUUUGAUGUAAUCUAUCGUAGCUGACUCUUAAUGUUUUCAUAAUAUCUCCGUUCAAACCAUUUCGGAGCCUAGGCAUCAUCUCCAUCCACCAUUCUUUGGUCCUUCCCUUUAAAGACGAACCAAGGACACUAAGACCCAACGGAAGAUUACCGGCAAGCUUCGCAACUUCAAAUGCUAGUUCCUUAAAAUCAUCAGGUGGAGAGUCUUUCCCAAAAGCAGAUCGGCAUAACAUCGUAAGAGCAAGAUGUUCAGAUGGGAACUCCACCUCAUAUAUAAGGUCAAUCUCAUGAGCCUUGAGAAGUUGCCUAUCUUGAGUGAUCACAAUUAUUCUGCUUCCAGAUCCAAACCAUUCAGCUUUUCCCACCAAGGUCUUAAGAAACUCUAGACUAUCCACAUCAUCAAGAAGGAUAAGAACUUUCUGUUGCUUUAACCUUUGCUCCACCACACCAAAAUGCUCUAUCUUUAUGUCCUUUUGACCUAAGAUUUCCGAGAGAAGUUCUUUUUCCCACCUCAACUUCAUGCCAGAGACGUCACUACCGCUGGUGCUUUUAUAUGUUAUGAAAGCGCGAUGGUGGAACUGGAUAGAGAGUUUACUGUAAAGAGCUCUUCCUAUGGUACUCUUACCAAUCCCUGAUUGUCCCCAAAUCCCGACCAUUAUUCUAGCUUCCUUGGAUUCCAAGCACAAUACUGAUUUUAUUGCCUCUAUAUGAUUUUCAAUUCCGACUAAGUCGCCAAAAUCAUCCGAUGGUGUCAUAGUUUUUCUCAAAACAUCCUCGGCAAGCUCUUCAAUCAUGGCUGCUUCACUAGGCCUAAUAACAAUAGUCAACUGUUUCAUUAAAGAAGCAACGCAAAACAAAAAAAUCACGAAGUCUAUUCAUUGAAAUACCAUUUCCGAAGAUCAUAUCCGGCCAUAACUGCAACAGCUGCUAGAGCUUGCUUCCAACUUUGUUUCUCAUCCUCUGAUUUAGCCUUGCAUGUCUCUUCAAAGACCUUUCCAAAUUCGCCGGUCUGUUUUUUAACUUCCGAAGCAUCAACGUGGAAGAAAAUCGGAAUCACCAUUUGAUUCAAAUUCGUAUAACACUUGUGAAUCUCCACCAAUUCAUUCAGGCACCAGGUGGAUGAAGCAUAGUUCUUAGAGAAGAUAACGAUUGCUAUUCUCGAUUCUUUUAUUGCCGAUAAAAGCUCCGGGCCGAUUGAGCGGCUCCUCUCGAUCUCAUCAUCUAUGAAUGUGAUUGCUUUGCCCCUGAGCUCCUUGAGAAGAUGGCUGAGGAAUGAGUCACGGACAUCUUCUCCACGAAAGCUUGGGAAAACGUCGUAUCUCCGGCUGCCAGAAGAAGAAGCUAUCUCCAUAUCAUCAUCUUUGGAUGUAUCCAUCAUUUCACGGUCGAGCUCGAGCUCCUUGACAAGAUGGCCACGAAACAAUUUGCCGAAAUUUUCUCCACUGAAGCUCGCGAAAACAUUGUAUAUCCAUCUGAGAACAUUGUAUAUCUAUCUGAAGCAAGAAGACGCCAUGGCAGAGGAUGAGAGAGAAGAGACGAAAUUUCUCAAAGGAAAACUCUUUGAAGUAUAUCAAUAAUACAACACAGUAACAGAGAGGAGAAACUUGGUCUUCCUUUCCUCGAAGACUUGUAUAGAAGACUUACUAUACAAGAUAUUGUUUUAGUGGUUAAAAUCAAAUCCCAUUACAAGACAAUUGGGACAAAUAAUACGUAAACUUGGUCUUCCUUUCUUAGAAGACUUGCAUAGAAGACUUACUGUACAAGAUAUUUUUUUAGUGGUUGAAAAAUCAAAUCCCUAACAAGAUAAGGCCAUAAUUAUGUGAUACAGAAACUUCCCCUUCCUUUCCUUGGAAAGCUUCUACUCUAUAACGAUAAGUCAAUUUUGUGGCUAUCAGUCGUCACUGAAUUUAUCUAUGAUGAUGAGACGUAGCCAUUCUACAAGAUUUCAAGAUAAUUUCUAGGCAAAAUAGACAGAAACUUCCUCGAGAGCUACUUUUCCUCUCCACAGAUAUUUUUGAAGACCCAAAAUUUUGUGGCUGUCAGUGGUUCAAGACAGAAACAAGAUUUCAAUUUAUUUUAACAAUGUUAAGGUUCACUAAUAUCAAAAGUCUGGUUUUCCUAUUCAUACUGUACAUACAUGCAUGGAAAUUAGGAGAAUAAUUAGUAUAUCGAUUAUGAGGAUUAUAAUUCAACUAAUAAUACAGUGAAAACACUAACAACAAACUAUCUAGUUUUCUAGAGCUGUGUGGUGUGGACAGUGGAGAGAAUAUUUUCAUGUAAAGUUUUCUUGUUUACAUUUACAAUUGUAAUAUUAGUUUAGAGUUUUGGCUUACUGUGUCAGCAACCACUGUAGGCUGCGAUUGCAUUUGCUGCCGUUUAAGGAGCAUUUGGUUUCUAAGGGUAGGUUUCAUGUACUGGAUGGAAGAAGUCGUGCUUGAGAGCAUCCUCUGCACUGAUUCGCCGUCUCGGGUUAACGGUCAAACAUCUAUCAACGAGGUCAAGGAGCGACCAUGGAAUUGCAUCUAGAAACUCCAUGCGUUUUGGGUUGAGUUCGUACCAUUUUCUCAACUCCAUCCCUUUCAAGUACCUUGACUUGUACAAUUCCUGAAACAACAACACAAAAAUCAACCUGAACUCAUCUCUCACGAUCAUCUAUCUAAUAAUUUUGUCGGUAAUUUACAUUUUUAAGAUAUAUAAUGUUUUGGAACACAAAAUGCUAACAAUGAAAACCCUUUUGUGAUAUUUGAAUCCAAAUGCUGGCGGCAAAGAAGAACAGAACAUGUAUGUUAUGUUCACACCAAUGCAGUAAUCAAAUGAAUGGAGAGUUUACAAGGGAUGAAAGAUGAGAUUUUACCUCAUGUAAAGAGGAUUCACGGUUGUGCAGCUUGGCUACUUCCCAUAAUUCUUCACUGCCUCGUAGUUGCGCAAUGUCCUUUAUGUUCCUGGGAAUGACAAGGUCGUUGUAAGACGGCAAGAAAGAAGAAAAAAGUGGAACCGAGUGAUGGUGUAUUCAGUCAAGUCAGAUCUUAACUGUUCAGGGUCACCAGUGAGAGCUUUCCUUCCCAUUAUGAGGUAUAACAAAGUAACUCCCGCAGAACACACGUCUUUUUUUAGGUCCUUGGUCCAAAGACCAUUCAGCCGAGAACAGCCCUAGAGAAUUAGCUUUUCCAUCCCAUCCUAGAUGUGUUAAUGAGUAGCUCAGGGAACAAGAUAUUUUCAUAUGGAUUUAACUAGUAUCAAGGGAAGUGAUAUAUCUGCAGGAAAAAUGGCUUGUGUCAAAACAUAUGAAAUCGUCUUGCCAUUAUCAUUAUAGUCAUGCUCGGUCCCAAGUUAUCCUAAAACAGAGGAAAACCGAAUAAUAAGAUGCUUCAGUUACCAGAACCAGAAUUCAAGAUAGGAAUUUCUUCAUCUUGUUGUUCACUUAUCAUGGAAUCAACACACAAAGAUUCCCCCUCCAGAGAUGGAUAAGAAGAAACUGAUGAUGCUUCUCCCUGCCCUAACGAAAGCUCCAUAUUUAGAGCGGUCAAGCUUGUGUCCGCUACAAUUUGGACACAGGGUAAGUUGAUAUAUUCUUCAGAUGUUCCCGAUGUCAUCUGCAUCGUAAACCAAAGGAUCGAUUCUGUUAAAUAGUCUGUCACUAAGGUAUUGAUCCUGGAAAAUAUAAUAAAACAUCAAGAGAUAGCUUUGCAAUUUUCAGUUCUAAUUAUGUCAAAAGGCUUACCCGCAUCCGCUUAUUGCUUCUCGCAGUCUCUACAACAUCACAUUUUUCUCGAGACUGUUGGCUGUACUCUGUUUCAGAGCUUCCAUCACUAUCAUCUGGAAAUGGAGACACAUUCAAGAGUCGUAUACCACAUUCUUUUAUCCUCUUGGAGCAAGAAAAGUUAAACUCCACAUCGUUGAAAGUCAAUUUAGAUGGAAGAUCUUCAGGCUGGAAGUUGAAGGAACAGAAAACCAGAUGAUCCGUCUUACACAACCGCAGGUCUGCAUCUUUAAAAAAUGAUUUGCAAUACAGUGUCCCAUUGAAGCCAGCAUUUACCUCACAAUAUGGACCCCAACUCUUGCCCUCAGUUAGAAGGUCAACCACGAUGCAAGCCUUAAAGCAAGAAUACUUGAGAAAGAGAGCUCUAAGGUAAAGUGACAGUUAGGGAAUCUCCAUAAGCUCGAUGUUGAAAAUACGUUGGCACUUCUCCACCUGGUAAGGACAUAGGCUUGAACAAUGACCGUAAGAUGAGUUCUCGCGCAUCUCCAUCCAAUUUGCAGCAGUUCUGGAAGAGAUAAUGAAAGGCCCCGAUCCGGACUACCUAAGUCCGGACGAGAUCUCUCGACCCAAGUCACUAAGUGACUCGACCCAAGUCACUAAGUGACUCGACCCUAACCAUUUAUGAGGUUCAUUCCCUAGUGUAAUCCGUUUCAUACAAUUCUGUGAUUCAAUAUAUGAGACGAAUAGAGUAAACAAACAAUCGGAUACUUUAUUAAUUAAGUAAAGGAUUCGAUACAACUUAUGAGUUUGCAUAUAAGCUAUUACAAGUAAUUUAAUCGAUCCCUAGACUAUCCGAAACUAUCACCACCCAUCAUUCCGGCCUUGAGUCUCUCGCGCCUAAGCCAAGUCCUUCCCACUAUCACCAUUGGUUCCUGAAAGUCAUAGAGCCAUAAGUAAUUUCAUUUACUUAGUCAUAUGCAAGUCCAUGCAAUGCUCCAUAGUCCUUACACUACUCGGAUCCGCGGAGAGGAUUCGGAGAAGGGAAGAUCGCGCAUAAGUCCGGCCGAUUCUCGGUAGGUCAAUUAAGACCCGCCGGUCCUCCGCCGAGCCGCGUCUCCGCCCCAGCCGAUCCCUUGCCCGGACCGAGGCUUGUGUAGGUUGCACAUGACCCGAUUCUACCCAGCCCAUUAGUCGUUCCUUUCAAGGAAUCCCGACUCAUUUAACGCAUUCUAGAAUCCUUAGACUCGAGGUCUAGGAUUCCUUACCUUCCUUCACGAUGUUCGGUCGAUCCGACCCUUCUUCUUCCUUGCCGGCCACAGUCCGCCUACCGAUUUCCUCCGAUGAUUUAUUCUCCCGAAAGGGAGAGAGUUUAAUGGUGAGUUUCCGGUAUUUUCCGUGUGUUCUGCUGCCUCUAAAGGUCUUGGGCGCCCUCCCUUAUAUAAGGAGCGAAUUGAUGCUUCCCGAAGGAUCACCUCCGUUCCUUGCACCUUUCCGAAGAGUUGCAUCUCUCGGUCCGUAACUGCUCGCCCUUAUCCACCCUUUGGGCGAGCACCCGUUCGACCGUAACCGCCCAAGUAACCGUCCGGGUAACCGCCCAGCUGGUCAGACAGUCGACCAGCUGCCUCGAGCUCAACCGUCACUCGCCCAGCUGCUCGAGCUGGACUGUCACUCAACCCGAGUAACCGUCACUCCUUCCAGCUGAGCUUGAGCUUCGGACGAGCUGACCCAGCUGAUUCCUUUACGAUCCUAGCUUAGCCCGCAUGAUUUCCCUUUGUCCGAGCUUAUGGCCAACUCCUUCCCACUUGUCCGAGACUCCACCUUCUUUUCUCGGACCAAGUCCCAGCCAACGAUCCUAUUGAGGAUCGCGGGCGUUACAAGUCUCCCCUUUGAAUUGGAUUCGACAAAUCGAAUCCAAGUUGAUCUUUACCCAUCUCCUUGAACCACUCCGGAAAAUUGGCCUUCAUCUUAGUCUCGGUUUCCCAAGUGUAUUCUUCACGGCCUCCACAAUUCCACAAGAUUUUUAACAAAUCCAUUGAUUUCCCCCGAGUCCCUUUCUUCAUUUGGUCCAUGAUCCGUACCGGCCAUGCUUCCACCGUCAUGUUCUCCUUUAACCCAGGAGGUACAUCUUCCAUGCUUUCUUCUUGUUCACUUAAGCACUUCCGUAGUUGUGAUACAUGAAAGACAUUGUGAAACGCGUCUAGUUUUGGAGGAAGGUCAAGUUUGUAUGCCACCGCCCCUACUCGUUCGAUCACUUUGUACGGGCCAACGUACCUUGGCCUUAACUUUUUCCUUGAUGUGAAUCGCCCUGCCCCUUUGUAGGUCAUCGCCUUUAAAUACACCAAGUCUCCCACUUGGAAUUCUAAUUCCUUUCGACGCUUGUUGGCGUAACUUUUCUGACGAUCUUGGGCUUCCUUUAACUUGAUUUUUAAGAACUUCAUUUUCUUCGUGGUUUCAUCCACGACCGCAGGUCCGAACAACCGACGUUCGCCCACUGGCGUCCAACACAACGGUGUUCUACCAGCUCGGCCAUACAACGCCUCAUAGGGAGACAUACCAAUACUAGCUUGAAAACUGUUAUUGUACGCAAAUUCUACUAACCUUAGAUAUUUCUCCCAGUUUCCUCCCCAAUCCAAGACGCAUGCCCUCAACAUGUCCUCGAGGGUUUGAAUCGUUCGUUCGGACUGUCCGUCCGUCUGUGGGUGAUAUGCAGUACUUAGAUUCACUCGAGUCCCUAAGACCUUUUGAAAAGGCUUCCAAAAUUUUGACGUGAACCUUGUGUCUCGGUCCGACACUAUACUAACCGGAAUCCCAUGUAAUCGCACGAUCUCGUCUAUGUACUUCUCGGCAAUGAUUUCGGCUGCAUCCUUAUCCGAGAUUGCCAUGAAGUGCGCAGACUUAGUCAAUCGGUCUACUACAACCCAUACCGCAUUGUGUUUGGACUUGAUCCCCGUCGGCAGUCCCGUGACGAAGUCCAUCAUUAUAUGGUCCCACUUCCAUUCCGGUAUAGGUAGGUUUUGUAACAUUCCACUUGGUACUUGAUGCUCUUCCUUGGCUACCCACCUGGCCACAUCUUUCUUCAUUCCUACCCAAUGGUAGUAUCUUUUAAGGUCGCGAUACAUCUUGUUCGACCCAGGAUGGAUCGAGAACUUCGAUUGAUGCGCUUCUUUUAGGAUUUCCUCCUUCAACGCCUUAUCGUUCGGCCCACAUACUCGACCGUUCACCACGAUAGUACCAUUGUUCGAGCUUUGGUACUCGGUUUUAUUGUUUUGUGCCCACCCUUUUAUUUCUUCAUCUCGUUCUUGAGCCGACCGGAUCCUACUAAGUAGGUCGGCUUGAUUGGCGGCUCUCAACCCUAAGGGUUCAACUUCCUUAGACAAAGCAUUCAAAUGCAAUGUCCCCAUCAUGUUAACCAAAUUCACUUGGUUCCUUUCCGCUUCCACUACCGUGCGCAGCCUGCUCAAAGCAUCUACAACUUGGUUGGCCUUGCCCGGAUGGUACGCUAUGUUCAAGUCGUAAUCCGCCACAAGUUUUAUCCACCUUCUUUGCCUUAGAUUUAACUCCGGCUGGGUGAAUAUGUAUUUUAGGCUCUUGUGGUCAGUAAAGAUUUGAACCUUGGCACCAUACAAAUAUGAUCGCCAAAUCUUCAACGCAAAUACUACCGCGGCCAUUUCCAAAUCAUUCGUAGGGUAGUUCUUCUCGUGUUUCCGCAAUUGCCUCGAGGCGUAUGCGAUAACACUCCCCUUUUGGAUCAAUACGCAUCCUAGUCCUACUAUGGAUGCGUCCGUGUAGACCGUAUAGGGCUCACCUUCCUCCGGUAAGACCAACACCGGUGCAUUAGUCAACAUGGCCUUUAACUCCAGGAAGCUUCUCUCGCAUUCCUCCGACCAGUUGAAUGCGGUGUCUUUUCCGGUCAAUUGAGUCAUGGGUUGGGCCAUGCUCGCAAAUCUCUCGACCCAAGUCACUAAGUGAAUGGACCCUAACCAUUUAUGAGGUUCAUUCCCUAGUGUAAUCCGUUUCAUACGAUUCUGUGAUUCAAUAUAUGAGACGAAUAGAGUAAACAAACAAUCAGAUACUUUAUUAAUUAAGUAAAGGAUUCGAUACAACUUAUGAGUUUGCAUAUAAGCUAUUACAAGUAAUAUAAUUGAUCCCUAGACUAUCCGAAACUAUCACCACCCAUCAUCCCGGCCUUGAGUCUCUCGCGCCUAAGCCAAGUCCUUCCCACGAUCACCAUUGGUUCCUGAAAGUCAUAGAGCCAUAAGUAAUCUCAUUUACUUAGUCAUAUGCAAGUCCAUGCAAUGCUCCAUAGUCCUUACACUACUCGGAUCCGCGGAGAGGAUUUGGAGAGGGGAAGAUCGCGCAUAAGUCCAGCCGAUUCUCGGUAGGUCAAUUAAGACCCUCCGGUCCUCCACCGAGCCGCGUCCCCGCCCUAGCCGAUCCCUUGCCCGGACUGAGUCUUGUGUAGGUUGCACAUGACCCGAUUCUACCCAGCCCAUUAGUCGUUCCUUUCAAGGAAUCUCGACUCAAUUAACGUAUUCUAGAAUCCUUAGACUCGAGGUCUAGGUUUCCCUUACCUUCCUUCACGAUGUUCGGUCGAUCCGACCCUUCUUCUUCCUUGCCGGUCACAGUCCGACUACCGAUUUCCUCCGACGAUUUAUUCUCCCGAAAGGACGAGAGUUUAAUAGUGAGUUUCCGGUAUUUUCUGUGUGUUCUGGUGCCUCUAAAGGUCUUGGGCACCCUCCCUUAUAUAAGGGGCGAAUUGAUGCUUCCCGAAGGAUCACCUCCGUUCCUUGCACCUUUCCGAAGAGUUGCAUCUCUCGGUCCGUAACUGCUCGCCCUUAUCCACCCUUUGGGCGAGCACCCGUUCGACCGUAACCGCCCAAGUAACCGUCCGGGUAACCGCCCAGCUGGUCAGACAGUCGACCAGCUGCCUCGAGCUCAACCGUCACUCGCCCAGCUGCUCGAGGUGGACUGUCACUCAACCCGAGUAACCGUCACCCCUUCCAGCUGAGCUUGAGCUUCGGACGAGCUGACCCAGCUGAUUCCUUUACGAUCCUAGCUUAGCCCGCAUGAUUUCCCUUUGUCCGAGCUUAUGGCCAACUCCUUCCCACUUGUCCGAGACUCCACCUUCUUUUCUCAGACCAAGUCCCAGCCAACAAUCCUAUUGAGGAUCGCGGGCGUUACAGAUAACCUGCCCUACAGGCCAAAUGUUUGUGGUUAAGGUUUUCCCAGAAACGAUGACGAGUAUACUCAAUGUUUUCAUAUAAUGGUAUAUAAGAAGAGUGAUCUUCCACACUGGCAUCACUCAUCGCCACGUUGACACCUCUACAUUCUGUAAAGUCGACGAGCUUAAGAAUUGUCAGUCUGAAAAUGUUUGGCGAGAUGUUUUUCAACCUCUUGCAACAAUACAUCAUAAGUACAGUGAGCCACGAGAAAUUUUCAAUGCAGCAGGGAACUUCUUCAAUAGCGGUGUUUUCCAGAUAGAGCCAUUUGAUACUCUUUGAAAUCAGAGGAAAAGUUCUCAAACUUGAGCAACCACUCAGAUCAAGCAUUUUAAGAGAUGACAAGUUGACAUCGGUUGGAAGAACCUCCAGCCCUGUGCAUUCUUUCAUUUCCAACCUCACCAAUUUUUGGAGAUUCCCAAUUGUAGAAGGAACUGUCACCAAACUUUUGCAAUUAGAGAGAUAUAAAUUCACCAGAUUAGUGGCCUUUGAAAGAUCUGGAAUUUCUGUCAGGUUUCCACAUUCUGACAUAUCCAUCUCCACGAGACUUGCAAGCGACUGAAACAGAAAUUAAAAAAAAAAAUUGUUAUGCUUCAAUCACUUUCAUUUUAAUUUAAUAACUAUACACAUUUAAACAAAAUUAUAAUCAAGACAUAAUUCUGUAUGUAAAUAUAAACCGUGGAAUCACAAGCCAUUUUGACAACUUUAAUUUGGUUAUACGUAAUUAUUUACAACAGAGGUUAAACAAAAAUCAGCAAAUGCUAUAAUAUUAACAAUGUACCUGGACGCCUUCCCAUAGCUUCUCAAGCAUUUGGUUGCCUCUCACUAUGAGACGAACCAGAUCAUUUGGGCGAAAUUCACAUGGCAUACAUCUCACAAGGCAGGCGAGAUAAUCAAGACCAGGGAGAUUCUUGUUCCAUAUACAAUUUUCUACGCGGAUCUCAAUUCCAUGUGGCGAAGUAGUUGAAGUUUCCAUUUUAAACACAGGGAAAUUUUUCUCAAAUUAUCGUAAUAAAGGAGACCGAGGUACUCAAGAGAUUCCAAGUUGAGAUGAGUUGGAAAACUCUCUAGCUUUGUGCAACCCCUCAUAUCUAAAUAGAUCAGUUUAAUGGCAUUCUGAAUCGAGGAAGAAAGUGUCACCAAAGAUCUGCAUUCCGAAAGAUUUAAUUCCUCGAGGUUUCUGGCAUUAGAAAGAUCUGAAAUUUCUCUCAAAUAUCUGGAACCAUGCAUAUUCAUCCUCUUGAGGCUUCCAAGUGGCUGAAAACAAAAUAGGGAAAAACAUAAUACACACAUUCAUAAACAUUUCAAAUAGAUUAAUUUUUACCACAGGUCUGUUCUAAAAAUUGACAACUAUUUCAAUGAAGAAUUAAGUACCACAGUUCCUUCCCACAGCUUCUCAAGCUUACUUCCCAUCAUUGUGAGUUGAAUGAGGUAAUCCGCCUUAAAACUAUAAGGCAAACAUUUCAAUGGACACCUAUCCCAGUCUAGCAAUCUGAGUUUAGGGGGCAAAUAAACGAGGCUCUGAGGUAGAUCCAUAUAAUCCCCAGUAACUGAUAGACAUUGGAGAUUACGCAUGCCUUGGAACGAUUUUUCAUCUAUUGGUAAUAGCUCUUUUGAUCGGAAAGCUGUGCAGAAACGUAUUCCAAGAACUGUUUCUGUCCCCUGAAAAAAAUACGAAGUAAACUAGUAUAAUGAUAUAAUCUUUACAAUGGCAACCGUUUUUAUUUUUCUGAGACAUCAAAAGAGCUAGCCACGUUUUAAUUAAGCAGGAGAGGCAACAAUUGUUAAAGUUUAUCAAUCCCCAAAUGACGAUUAAAUUAAUAUAAAGUCAUGCAUUAAAAGGCAUCUGCUAAAAACUUACAGUUUUCUCUGUCAAUACUUCUCAGAGUAUCCUCAAAAUCCGUUAGAAAUCGACGUUUUCCAGGAUUACCCUUGGACUUUGCACGAUCAAUUUCUAUACCCAAUUUCUCUAGCAAAUUGUGCAUCUCUAUAUCUCCAUCCGGUGUAAUACGUAUGAGGGACUUCUCAACCAACAUUGUAACCCCAACAUUAUCUUCAAGUAAAUCGUUGACGUAACUGACUUCAAAACCAUUGAAUAAACACGCGAUGUAAAGGAACAUAUCUUGAUCUUUUUGAUGUAAUCUAUCGUAGCUGACUCUUAAUGUUUUCAUAAUAUCUCCGUUCAAACCAUUUCGGAACCUAGGCAUCAUCUCCAUCCACUCUUCUUUGGUCCUUCGUUUUAAAGACGAACCAAGGACACUGAGACCCAAAGGAAGAUUACCGGCAAGCACUGCAACUUCAAAUGCUAGUGCCUUAAAAUCAUCAGGUGGAGAGUUUUCCCCAAAAGCAGAUCGGCAUAACAUCUUAAGAGCAAGAUCUAGAGAUGGGAACUUCACCUCAUAUAAAAGGUCAAUAUCAUGAGCCUUAAGAAGUUGCAUAUCUUGAGUGAUCACAAUAAUUCUGCUUCCAGGUCCAAACCAUUUAGUUUCCCCCACCAAGGUCUUAAGAAACUCUGGAUCAUCCACAUCAUCAAGAACGAUAAGAACUUUCUUCUGAUUUAACAUUUGCUCCACUACACCUAACUUCCCUCCUAUCUUUAUAUCCUUACCAAGAAUUUUUGACAGAAAUAUUUCUUCCCAUUCAGACUUCAUGCUAUAGACGUGAGGUACGAAAGCGUGAAAGUGGAAUUGGCAAAAGAGUUGACUGUAUAGAGCUUUUCCUAUGGUACUCUUACCAAUCCCUGAAGGCCCCCAAAUCCCAACCAUUCUAGCUUCCUUGGAUUCCAAGCACAAUAUUGAAUUCAUUGCCUCUAAAUGAGCUUCAAUUCCGACGAAAUCGCCAAAAGAAUUCGAUGGUGAAAUAAGCUUAUUCGAAACAUCAUUAGCUAUCUUUACAACCAUGGCUGCUUCACUAGGCCUAAUAACAGUAGUCAAAUUGUGUCAAUAAAGAGGCACCCCUAAAGCACACAAUCCAAAAAAAGAAGAAGCAGAUAGCAUAGUUCAGAGAUAAUUAAAAACACACUCAGAGAUAAUGAAAUCAAAAACAAAGUACCCGUUUCGAAGAUCUUCUCCGGCUAUAUUUGUUAUGUCUACUAGAGCUUGCAUCCAUCUUUGUUUCUGAUCCUCUUCUUUGUCCUCGCAUGUCUUUUUAAAAACAUCGCCAAAUUCGCCGGUCUGUUUUCUAACUUCCGAAGGAUCAACGUCGUAAAAAACUGAAAUCACCAAUUGACCCCAAUCAUUUAAGCGAUUGUGGAUCUCAACCAAUUCAUCCAAGCACCAAGUGGAAGAAGCAUAGUUCUUAGAGAAGAUCACGAUUGAGAUCCUUGCUUCUCUAAUCGCUGAUAUUAGCUCAGGGGCUAUUGUACGGCUUCGUUCGAUGCCAUGAUCCAUGAAUGUAUUGAUUGAUCUGCGGUCGAACGCCUCGAGUAGAUUGCUGAGGAACGUCUUGCGAACAUCUACCCCACUGAAGCUUGGGAAAACAUCGUAUCUCCGGCUGCAAGAAGAAGAAGCCGCCGCCAUGGAAUAUGAUGAGGAGAAGAUAAGUACAGUAAAUCGAAUACACAGUGAUUAUUGAUUAGAGUGAUUACUGUGAGGCCGGUCCUUAAGGGUGGGAUGCGCAAGGAAACUUCUUAUUUUUUGCCCAUAGGCCAUAAAUAUAAAAAUGUAGCGAAAUGUUUGUAAUGAGGUUCGAACCAAGGCCAAUGAAGCAUUUAAAACCUGAUUUCAAGUAUUCAACCGCUCAACUACAAGUUAUGAUGCCUCUUAAAUCAAUAUUAGAUUUAUUUUGGUGUCCAAGGUCUUUGCUUAUUGUAAAAAGGACAGCUUAUCGUAAACAUGUUGAGUGGGGAAUUCAGUCUUUGUUUCCCUAUACUUACAUGCAUAGAAACUAGGAGAAUUUGUAAGUAUAUCAAUUAUGAGGAUUUUAAUUCACAUAAUAAUAUAGUGAAAACAUUAACUAUCUAGUUUGUUAAAAAAAAAACUCUUUUAGCUUUCUAGAGUUGUGUGGUGUGGUGUGGAUGGACAGUGGAGUGAAGAUUUCUAGAAACUCUCUGCGUUUUGUGUUGAGUUCUCCUCAUUUUCUCAACUCCAUCCCCUUCAAGUACCUUGACACGUACAAUUCCUGAAACAACAACACAAAAAUCUAUGUGAAUUCAGCUCUCACGAUCAUCUAUCAAAUCACUUUAUCAGUAAUUUACAUUUUAAAGUUAUAUCAUGUUCUGGACUAACAAUGAAAACCAUUUUAUGUGAUAUUUGAAUCCAUAUGCUGGUGGCAAAGAAGAACAGAGCAUUUGUAUUAUGUCACACAAAUUCAGCAAUCAAGUGAAUGGAGAGUUUAUAAGGGAUGUAAGAUGAGAUUUUACCUCAGGCAAAGAGGUUUCACGAUUGCAGCUUGGCUACUUCCCAUAAGUCUUCACUGCCUCGUAGUUACUCAAUGUCCUUUAUGUUCCUAGGAAUCACAAGGUCGUUGUAAGACGGCAAGAACGAAAAAAGAGUGGAAUCGACUGAUGGUGUAUUAUAUUUUUAUUUAUUAUUAUUAGGUCAUUGGUGCAAAUAUCUGAAGCAAACCUGCACAAACCAAUUCAGCUAAAAUAAGCACCAGAGAAAUUAGCUUUCACAUCCUAAAUGUGACAAUGACUAGCUCACUUGACCUCAGGGUCGUGAUUGAGUUUGGUGGUUGUGGCCGGUGAGUAGGACGGGUGGAAGCUGGUUUUGUAUGUAUGGGGCAGUGGUGGUGCUGAGUUAUGUUGUAAUCACUGUUUUUUACUGUGAGUGUAGGAAACGCCAUGGUAGCAGUGAUGCAUUUAAUGCUGAUGAGGUUGCUAUUUAAAAAUUUAGUUCCAACACUUUUUUGUUGUUGAUAAUUCUCUUGUGAAAUACAUUUUUCUUUACCGAAUUUAUUCAUUGAUUUAAAGAGAGAAAAAUAACCUUUGGUAACAUACACGUAGAGAGAUAUGUGUGUUUCAAAAGACAAGACUGUUAUAUUUACAUCUUUUCAGGAAAGCGAAUUUUUCAAAGAAGCAAAACAGAGAGAAGUAAGAACAGAGUGGUUCUGCUGUUCUGGACAUGGAACCAUAAAAGUUUUCUAGUUGUCAGUGCUCCAUCAUCUGCAGGAGAAAAUGGCUUGUGUGAAAAACUAAGAAAUCGUCUUGUCAUUACCAGUAUAGUCAUGGUCGAUCCCAUGUUCAUUAUAAAACAGAGUUGUAAUACGUUUCAGGUUACCUUAACAAUGUGAUAAGCUGUAGAGACGGCUAAGGAUCCAGGAAAGGAAUCUUAACAAUGUGAUGGUGUGAAUUCAGUCAAGGCAGAUCUUAACUGUUCAGGGUCAGCAGUGAAAGGUGUCGUCCCCAUCAGACCAUACGUUUUAUUUAGGCCCUUGAUGCAAAGAUCUGAAGCAAACCAAUUCAGUCAAGAACAGCCCCAGAGAAUGAGCUUCCCAUCCUAGAUGUUCUAGUGAGUAGUUCAGGCCUACAACUUUCACUCUUCUCGAUAUAAUUAAAGAGUGCAGCGGCAUAGGGGAACAGCAGCGACAUAUUUUCUCAUCGACGUAGGAUAGCUGGAUGAUACUUCAUGGUUUGGAAGUGGACCAGACAAUGUCUCCUGUAGAAAGUUUAAAAGCUCUUUCCUUCACCCGAAGGAUUGUUCCUUAUGCUGGUUACAUCUUUGGCCGAAGUUAGGCCAAAAACGCUUCUGCCUUUUGGCUAUUGAAUCAGCGGAUAUGCAAAUGUUGCUGAUUCUUGUUGUUUUCUGUACCCAAAGUCUGAUUUAUUCAUUGCUAAUAAAGAGAAAAACAACCUUUACUAACAUAAACAUUGAGAUCUAUGUUUUAAAAAGGCAAGACUAUUUUGGGUAGUACCUGCACUCAAGCAGGUACGCUCCCAAAUUCAAUGUCUUUCUUAAAAAUAGAAUAUGUUUUUACAAAACAAAACAAUGCCAAAGAUGUUUUUCCAGAAUAUGCUAAAGUAUGGCUUUCUGAAACAUUUAUUCUUUCAGGAAAAGUGAAAUGUUCAAAACAAACGCAGAGCUGGAUAAUGUAACGGACUUUGGUUCUCCUAAAGAUCUUCAUCAUCUGCAGUUAAUUAUCAUUAUCAUUAUAGUCAUAGUCGAUCCCAAGUUAUCCUAAAACAGAGUAAAACAGAAUGAUAAGAUGCUUCAGUUACCAGAAUCAGUAGACAAGAUAGGAAUUUCUUCAUCUUGUUCUUCAGUUAUCAUGUAAUCAACACACAAAGCUUCCCCCUCUAGAGAUGUUGAUGAUGAUGCUUCUCCCUGCCCUAACGAAAGCUCCAUAUUUAGAGCGGCCAAUCCUGAGUCCGCUACAAUUUGGCCAUAGGGUAAGUUGAUAUAUUCUUCAGAUGUCCCCGAUGUCAUCUGCAUUAUAAAUCAAACGAUCGAUUCUAUUAAAUAGUCUGUCCCUAUGGUGUUUCGAUCCUGAAAAAUCAAACCAAAAGUCAAAAGAUAGCUUUAUAAUUUUCAGCUCUAAUCAAAAGUCAAAAGAUACCCCCAUCCGCUUCUCGCUUCUCGUAGUCUGUUGGUUGUACUCUGUUUCUUGAUAGACAUACAAGAGUCGUACACCGCAUUCUUUGAUCCUAUUGGAGCAACAAAAUUUAAACUCCAUUCAGACCAGAUCUUGAAGGAACAGAAAAACAGAUGAUCCGUCUUACAAAACUGCAGGUCUGCAUCUUCAAAAAAUGAUUUCUGAUACUGUUUGCCAUUGAAGCCAACAUUUACCUUCAAGGAUGGAUAAAAACCCUUGCCCUCGGAGGGAGGUUCAACCACGACGCAAGCCUUAAAUGGAAAGAAGUAUUGAGAAAGAGAGCUCUGAGGUAAAGUGACAGUUAGGGAAUCUCCAUAAGCUCGAUACGUGAAAUACUUAGGGAUUUCUCCACCUGGUAAGGCCACAUGCUUGAAGCAUGAUCGUAGGAUAAGUUCUCGCGCAUCUCUUUCCAAUUUGAAGCAAUUGCAGAAGCUAAAGGAUUCCCUACGUAAGCGCCAAUCUACGACGUAGUUCUUAUAAUCAUCAUCAUACAACGCAUCCCAGAAACGUUCACAUGUAUAUUCAAUGUUUUCAGAUAAUGGUACACAAGAAACGUGAUCUUCCAUUGUCGCUACCACAGUUGCAUCACUCAACGCCUUGAUGACACCUCUACAGUCUGUAAAGUCGGCGAACAUUAGACUUCUCAGUCUGAAAAUGUUUGGGGAGAUGUUUUUCAACCUCUGGCAACAAUACAUCAGUAGUACACGGAGCCUCGUGAAAUCCUCAAUGCAGCAGGGAACUUCUCCAAUGGCGGUGUUUUCCAGAUAGAGCCAUACAAUAUUAGUUGAAAUCAGAGGAAAAGUUCUCAAACUUGAGCAACCACUGAGAUCGAGGAUACCCAGAGAUGACAAGUUGACAUCGGUUGGAAGAACCUCCAGCCCUGUGCAUCUUUUCAUGUACAAACGUCUCAAAUUUUGAAGAUUCCCAAUUGUAGAAGGAAGUGUCACCAAACUUUUGCAGUUGUUGAGUAUCAAAGACUCGAGCUUGGUGGCCUUUGAAAGAUCUAGAAUUUCUUCAAUGGCGGUGUUUUCCAGAUAGAGCCAUUUGAUACUCUUUGAAAUCAGAGGAAAAGUUCUCAAACUUGAGCAACCACUGAGAUCGAGGGUUUCGAGAGAUGACAAGUUGACAUCGGUUGGAAGAACCUCCAGCCCUGUGCAUUCUUUCAUUUCCAACCUCACCAAUUUUUGGAGAUUCCCAAUAGUAGAAGGAAGUGUCACCAAACUUUUGCAGUUGUUGAGAUAUAAAUGCUUCAGAUUGGUGGCCUUUGAAAGAUCUGGAAUUUCUGUCAGGUUUUCAGAUUCUGACAGAUCCAUCUCUUCGAGACUUCCAAGCGACUGAAAAAAACAUUAUCGAUGAUAAUCAUUUUAAUUUUAUACCUAUAUAUGUUUAAAAUUAUAAUUAAACAUUAUUACGUAUGUAUGUAAGACAUAACCGUGGAUCGACCACAAGCCAUAAAAACAAAUUUGGGUAUACUUAAUUAGUUAUAUAACAGAAGGUAAACAAAAAUCAGCAUAGCAUUAACAAUGUACCUGGAUGCCUUCCCAUAGCUUCUCAUGCUUGUAGCACCUCACAUUGAGAAAAACGAGAUAUUCUGGGCGAAAUUCACAAGGCAUACAUCUCAUAAGGCAGUCGAGAUAAUCUAGUCCAGCAGGGAGAUUCUUGUUCCAGAAACAAUCUUCUACCACGAUCUCAUUUCUCCCUUCCGGAAAGUCAACGUCUGAACAUCCCAUUUUGAUUGCUGGGAAAUUUCUCAAAUUCGGGCAUCCAGUGAGAUUGAGGUACUCGAGAGAUUCCAAGUUGAGAUCGGUUGGAAAACUCUCUAGCUUUUUGCAAUCACUAAUAUCUAAAUAGAUAAGUUUAAUGGCAUUCUGCAUCGAGGAAGGAAAUGUCACCAAGGAUUCGCAUUUACAAAUAUCUACUUCCUCGAGGUUUAUGGCUAAAGAAAGAUCUGGAAUCUCUUUCAAAUAUUUGGAACCACGCAGAAACAUCUGCUUGAGUCUUCCAAGUGGCUAAUAACAAAAUAGGGGAAAAGAGAGUACACACGUUAGUGAACAUUUUAAACAGAUUCAUUUUAGUUUUUCUAACAGAUUUAUGUUUAGAAAUUGAUCACUAAUAGAAUUAGUACCUGAGUUCCAUCCCACAGCUUCUCAAGGUCACUAUUCUCCAUUCUGAGUUUAACCAGAUACUCAACCUUAAAAUUAGAAUGCAAACGCUUCAAUGGACAAUUAUUCCACAAUAGCAAUCUGAGUUUACUAGGGAAAUAAACGAUGCCCUGAGUGCCUUCCAUACGUGAGCAAUCAACUGAUAGAUAUUCGAGAUUACACAUGCCUUCUAAUGAUUUUAAAUCUAUUAAUAGCACCCCCGAACAAUAUAACGUCCUCAGUUUAAUGGCAUUCUGAAUCGAGGAAGGAAGUGUCACCAAAGAUUCGCAUUCAGAAAGAUUUAAUUCCUCGAGGUUUAUGGCUAAAGAAAGAUCUGGAAUUUCUUUAAAAUAUUUGGAAUACCACAAAUUCAUCUUCUUGAGACUUCCAAGGGGCUGAAAACAACAUAUGGAAAAAGAGAAUACACACGUUCACAAUUUUUUUAAAACAGAUUCAUUUGAAGCUUUUCUAACAUAUAUAUGUUCAUAAAUAUACCACAGUUCUAUUCUAAAAACUGACAACUAAUAAAAUUUAUAAUUCGUACCAGAGUUCCUUCCCACAGUUUCUCAAGCUUACUAUUCUUCAUUAUGAGUUUAACUAGAUACUCCGCCCUAAAAGUAGAUGGCAAAGACUUCAACGGACAAUAAACCCAUUCUAGCAAUCUGAGUUUAAGGGGCAAAUAAACGAGGCUCUGAGGUAGAUCCCCAUCUGACCAAUAACCAAUUUCUAGAUAUUGGAGAUUACGCAUGCCUUUGAAUAAUUUUUCAUCUAUUAAGAACGACCUUGUCGUAAGAUAUCCCGGGUGUGGCAAACGUAUUCCAAGAAGAAUUUCUGUCCCCUGAAAAAAAAUCCGAAGAAAACUAAUAUAAUCUUAACAAUCGCAACCUUUUUUUAUUUUUCUGACACAUCAAAGCUACGUUUUAAUUACGCAUGAGGCAACAAUUGCUUAAGUUUAUCAAUCCCCAAAUUACGAUUAUACUAGAUAUUGACCCGCGGUGUACCGCGGGUGGAUAUGUUCAUAGAAAAGUUAUACAUAUUUUUUAUACGAAUUAUUAUUUUUAUAUAAAUAAUAUUUUCUUAACACAUAAUUUUUAUUUAUGUAAAUCUUGGAUAAUUCAUGUUUUAUGUUCUCAUAUUUGUUAGUUUAAUAUUAAAAUUCAGUAUUUGUUUUUUUGGUUUGGGUUUUUUAGAGAUAAUAAAGAUCUAAAAUUCAUGUUUGGGGUCGAUAUUUUUAUCAGAAAAUUAAAUAUUUUUAUUUUAAUUAAUAUUAUUUAUAUAUAUAAUAUAUUCAAGAAGUACAUCAAAGGCCUAUAUUUUUAUUAAAUAAAAAAUAAUAUUUUUGUCUUUAAAAUGAUCUAUAGAUAUAUGCUAUUGUUUUUUUAUGUAUGAUACUAUGAUACACCUCUGUAUGAUUUUUAUAACUAAUUUUUUUUAAAAAAAUUAAAAUUUUUUUUAGUGUUUAAAAUUGUAUAAUUGUAUUUUGAUUGUUAAUUUUAGGAUUUCAUCCAUAGUAUAUCAUCCCGUAUCAAUAUCGAUCCAAACUCAUCCCACCAUAUAACCUCGUCCCGUGAAAUUAAAACUUCAUAAAAUUUUAAAAUCAUUAAUAUUUUAAAAAAAUUUAUAGACUUUAACUUUUAAAAAAGUUUAAAAAUUUGUAAUACUUAACUUUUAAUAAAGUUUCAAAAUAUAUAAUAUUUUAAAACUUUAAAACUUUUACUUAUUUAAAAUAAAGAACCAAAGUAAAACGAAAGCUCCUGCUCUUUCGUUUUCAGAAUCACUUUGGUCUUUUUUAUAGUAUAACUCUUAACGAUUUCCUCAUUUUUAAGCAAUGUGAGACCUUUAAAACUUAUUUUUUUUCAUCGAUGGAGUAUUAUAUGUUUGUUUUAAGAAAUUUAAAUUUCAUCAGAUGCAAAAAAAAUCUAAUAUUUUAUUAACUAUAUGUAUUUUAUAUAUAAAGUAAAAAAAAAUAGAUAUAAAAACAAAUAUAGUGACAGAAAAAUUAUAUAUUUAUAUUUAAUGUCGAUAUAUAGAUUUUAGAAAAUUAGCCUUAAUCGAAUAUAGUUCAAUAAAGAAAGAUUUAGUUAAGGAUAAAAAUUUAGGAAAGAGUUAAUUCAACUAAUUAAUGCAAUUAAGCUAAUUGUAAUUUUUUAGUUAUAAAGUAUUUGAUUGAGAUUAAAUUUGUAAGGACUAAUAUUGAAAAUAGUAAAUAGGUGAGGGAUUUUUGGCCAAAAACCCUACCAAAAAUGUAUAUGUAGAUUGACAUAAAGUCAUGCAUUACAACGUUUAAGGAGAUGCGAAAAACUUACAGUUUUCUCGGCCAAUACUUCUUGAAUAUCCUCAAAAUUUGUCAGAAAUUGACGUUUUCCAGGAUUACCCUUGGACUUUGCACGAUCAAUUUCUCUACCCAAUUUCUCUAGCAAAUUGUGCAUCUCUAUAUCUCCAUCCGGUGUAAUACGUAUGAGGGACUUCUCAACCAACAUUGUAAGCCCAACAUCAUCUUCAAGUAAUUCUUUGACGUUACUGACUUUAAAACCAUUGAAGAAACAUGCAAUGCACUUAAAUAACUCUCUAUUUUUUUUAUUUAACCUAUCGUAGCAGACUCUUAGUGUUUCCUCAAUUUUAUCAUCUGAGUCAUUUCGAAGCCUAGGCAUCAUCUUCACCCACUCAUCUUUGUCCCUUCCUUUUAGAGAUGAACCCAAGACACUGAGACCCAAAGGAAGACUACCAGCAAGCUCGGCAACUUCAAAUGCUAGUGCCUUAAAAUCAUCAGGUGGAGAGUCUUUCCCAAAAGCAUAUUGGGAUAUCAUCUGAAGAGCAAGACCUUGAGAUGGCAGCUUCACCUCAUAUACAAGGUCAAUCUCAUGAGCCUUGAGAAGUUGCCUAUCUUGAGUGAUCACAAUUAUUCUGCUUCCAGAUCCAAACCAUUCAGCUUUUCCCACUAAGGUCUUAAGAAACUCUAGAUUAUCCACAUCAUCAAGAAGGAUAAGAACUUUUUUGUGCUU
rnacentral:lncRNA from 1 species